UUUUUCGCGUUUUUCUACUUUUCUGCUCGUGUAAUCGUAUCAGUUCUUUUCAGAACUAUAACAGUUCUUUUUAGAACUCCAAAUUAACUGUCGUAUACCGUGGUACGUGUCGCUUGCUUGAACGUAAACAUUCCACCAUGCCGAAGCCCUUGCACAAAGAUGCAAAGCAAAUGGUCGCUAAUUUAGUGGACUAUUUUGCUAAAGAACGCGAUAGCGGGGGACCUCUUUUACCACUAACAGCUGUUCAAGACAGGGUUGCUGCUGCUCUGGGUGUAUGUGUGCGAACAGUGAACUCCAUGGUACAACAAAUAAAAACCGCAGAAGCUGUACAUUCUCCCAAGAAAUAGAGACCCCCGAACAAAGCAAGUGUGUGAUAUUAGCACUUCGGAGCAGUGUGCUAUUCGAGAAUGCUUAUAUGGAAUGGUCGAAAAAAAAAUACAUGUUACACGAUCGUCAUUACUUGAUUGCUUGAAGGAGAAACAUAUAUUUGAAGUUUCUCUGAGCUCGUUAGGAAGAAUUUUAUAUUCUCUAUUGGGUUUCGUUAUUCUCCAACAAGUGUACGAAGCGUCUUAUGGAAUUACAUGUUAUUCAUGCAAGAACCAAAUUCUUACGUGAAUACAUGGACAAUCAGCAGAACCCAAAUCCUUUGCCAUGUGAUCUUGAUGAAACAUGGAUAUUUGAAAAUGGUUCGGUAGUUAGGUCCAUGGCAAGACGAUAGUGUCAAAAGUAUCAGGACGUUCAAAA